AGCGAACGCUGGCGGCAGGCUUAACACAUGCAAGUCGAGCGGGCCCUUCGGGGUCAGCGGCGGACGGGUGAGUAACGCGUGGGAACGUUCCUUCUGGUCUGGAAUAACCCUGGGAAACUAGGGCUAAUACCGGAUACGCCCUUUUGGGGGAAGGUUUACUGCCGGAAGAUCGGCCCGCGUCGGAUUAGCUAGUUGGUGAGGUAACGGCCUACUAAGGGCACGAUCAGUAGCUGGUCUGAGAGGGUGAUCGGCCACACUGGGACGGAGAAACGGCCCAGACUACUGCGGGAGGCAGCAGGCGGGAAUCUUCCGGGAGGGGCGAAGGGGGGAAGAUGGAACACCGCGUGAAGGCUGAAGCCAUCCGGACCGUAGAAGUGUGUAAGGCGGGAAGAUCAUAAGUCUCUUUUACCCGGCACAUUAUGACGGUACCCAAUGAAAAAGCCCCGGCUAACUUCGGG
rnacentral:rRNA from 1 species